CCCCGCUGCUUGUAAAUCUUUAUCACAAAAUAUUUGACAAAUAAUGUUGAAAUAUUGGAAGAAAUUAAAUAUAAAAAUUUGUUCUGUAGUGGGCCGAUUAAGUGCUAUUUUCAUCUACGAUCGAGAUAAACACAAGAUGCUUGGGUGCCAUUUGUACAUGGAUUGGUCAUGCUAAAUGUAGGAGUCAUUGAGCCCAGUUAGUUGUUACGGGGCACCCAAAAGUUCUAGCCCAAGAGUUCGGAGUAAGAGACCAAAUAUUGGCGAACACUCGUCCCGUAACAUAAUUUUUGCAUUUAUAGGGCAAAAUUAUAGUAUCAUAGUGGUACUAUAUUACAGAGGGAUUCAACCAUUGAAUCUAGUCCACAGUGGUCAUCAGAGCUAGAUUUAAUGGCUAGAUCCAGCUGUGAUAUGGUAUUAUUGUGUUACCAUAGCUGGACCCGCAUUUAUAUGGGUUAUUAUUGUUGAAUUAGAUGGUCGUACAAACUUGUUAUUUGAUGAUAAUUAUUUCUGUUUUUUCUCUAAAUAAUAUAGGUUUAUUUUUAUUAAUCUCAUUGGCUCUUUAAAUUCAAUAUUUUUAAGUAUGGGAGCAAGCCUAAAUACUAAUGGUAAUCAUUGAUCAAAAGAAAAUUUACACCUGUCACCCUAGUUCAAGUGGCUUUUUUUUUUUAAUAAAUCUAUGUAAAAAUAGUUUUUGUAAAUUUAUACAAGAUUAAAGAAUAUAAACUAACUCAAUAUACUUUUCAUAUUUUACCAACACCAAACUUCAUGAUGUAGAACAUGAUUUUUGUACUUUUUCAGAGCUAUAACUUGAACUAUGAAGCUUAUGGAAAGACGAAUACAAGUAUGUAAACCAUGUUGUAAAUGGUCAGCAAAUUUUUUAGGAAUUCUAAUUUUUGGGUCUCAGAUUGUAGUUUGAAGAUCUUUUACCUAAUUUUUACGCUUUUUUCCAGAUUUCAAUUUUAUUUCUAGACAUCAUAAUUGCAUGCCCUUUUUUUUUAUUCUUUUUAUUUUAAUUAUUAUAAUUUUAUUAAAUAAUCUAUUUUGCCUCUUUUGAUAAUUUCGCUUUCUAUAUGUAAGAGAGAGUAAACCCUAGUUUGUCAGCAACUUUUGAUUAAGAAUCAAUUAAUCAUUAUCAUUUCAAACUUUGUUCUUCAUCGUUUUUGCAUCGUCAUUUUAGUUCUUAAAUUUUUUAAUCAAAAUAUGGUUUCAUGAGAAAUAUGAUCUAGAUUCUUUAAAAAUUGGAAAAUCAAUUUUAUUUUCGUACUUUCAAAAAAAAAUUAUUUUGGGAUAUGUAUAGUAUAAAGAUUAAAAGUUUUAUUAUGUGUAUGUGGAAUACUGGAAUAAAAGCUUAUGCAAUAACCAUUUUGGGCUGUAGCAAAUGAAUUUUAGGCCCAAAUUCUGGCCCACACUAACCUUUAAAUUCACACACUAUGAAGGCCCUGCCUCUAUUCUGCUUUGUCUGAGUUUAUUUUUCAAAUAAUAAUGUUUGUUUCAACAUCAUUUUUUUUUUAAAGUCUAGGGAUGAUUAGUUUUAUAUUUUCUUUACACAUAUAUACUUUAGGGUGUAUUUUUCCACAUAAUGUAUAUUUCAAAUUUAAUUUAAGAACUUAAGUUCGAGUCUAGUACUCUUUUUCUCUUUUUAGUUGUAUGUAUAUAAUUGAAUGGAAGUUGAUUUCUCUCCUGCUAAUUUGUGAGUAGAGCUGUUAUAUUGUUCCAAAUUUAUAAGGAUUGAAAGCUAGACUGUACGGUAGUAGUAUUGAUCUAAGCGAGUUCUAAUUGAAUUUUAAUUGUAAAUAUAUUAGUUGAAUUUUGUUAUAUUAAAAAAAAAAGAGUAAUCAAUUGGGCUAAAACGAACUACUGACUUUAUUAUUGUCUUUUUAAAAAAAAAAAAUCUUGAUUCAAUUACGGUAUGAAAUUAAGUUGAUACAAGCACAAUAGAAUCAUGAGAAAUUAAAACAAAUUGAUAAAAAAAAAAUAGAGAAUUGUUAAGUUUUAAAUAAUAAACAAAUUUAACAUACACAUGUACUGGAUUUAAAUGCAAGAAAUAUCCUAGAAAUGAUCAUUUUUGUUGUUGUCAUUUUAUCAAGACCCUCGAGAAUAUGUGAUUGUGAGUUUCUAAAUAAAGUUAUAAUCUAUUGAAAAUAUCACACAAAUAUAGAAUUAAAAUUUGUGAUGUGAUAUUCCAUAUCGCAGGUGUCUGCUCACUGUUUUAACGAGCCUUCAAUUAUUAUAUAAUAAGCUAUUAAGAGAUGGAAUAUGAAAGAUUAAAUAAUUGUGUGUGAUAGCAGAAGCCAGAGAAGUGAUUCCAAAAAGCAUGAUUAAAUCGACAACAAUCAUUCGGCUCCAAACUCACCACCUAGGCGCAUGACCAAAUUUACAAAACCCUAAAUAAAACAAUUAUUACACAUGUUGGUUAUAAAAUUUAAAUGGAUGAGUGACACAUGAUGUUGGAUUCAAAUAUUAAAAUUCUUAAUAUUAUUGUUUAAUGAAAUUUAUAAUUCAUUUUUAAUUUUUUAUUAAGACGUUAUUUGAUCUUUAUAAUAACAAUAAUCAUAUCGUCACUUGAUUAUCUUUUGUUAAAUUUAAUAUGAGAGCAGUGUAAUUAUUUUCAUGGAAAUGAGUAGAAAUAGCCCACACUUUUUUUAUUAUUAUUUUUGCCACUAUUUUAAAAAGUAUUGAGUUUAACUUGACAAGUUGGUAAAAUAAACAAGUUUUUUAUUGCCCUAAAAAAUUAACUAAGGAUAUGUUUGAUAUUACAGAAGUUAUUUAAGUAGAGAUUUAACUAAAAAAUUUAGUUGUUGUCAAU
rnacentral:lncRNA from 1 species